rnacentral:tRNA from 1 species
AACGGUGGUUCUGUGGUAGGAUGCUCGCCUGCCACGCGGGCGGCCCGGGUUCGAUUCUCGGCCGAU